rnacentral:lncRNA from 1 species
CAUCGUCCAGAUUGUGGCUGAAGCUGAAUUUUAUGAGCCUUCCCCCAGUGCAGAAGGGGUGAUGCCUGACCUACACACCCGGCAAUACCAGAAGUUUCACUACCUUCCGUUGGUAAACGCUUCAGGGAAGGCUCUGCAACCCUGAACGUGUUUUAUUGUAGAACCUCACUAGGAAACUCAUCAGUAUUUAUUAAAGAUGAAUUAAAAGAAGGAGGAAAAGGAAAAACGGGAUAGUGAAGAGAAUAGAUGAAUGAAAAAGAAGCAAAGGGAAGAGAGGAGGAAGGGACAAAGAGGGCAAGAAAAGAGAAAAGAGAGAUGAGAGACCAGGACUUCCCACCUAACCUUACCAAACUUUUUCAGUUGAGCUUUUAAUGGGAUACUAUUCCCAAGAGGAAAUUCAAAAAGAAAACCACCUUGAAACAUCCUUGCUUUUAAUUGUACUCUUUCAACUGCCAGGAAAUUAAUUAGGUAAGACAAAAAGAAAAUUUUCUACCUUAAUAAAAAGAAGCCAACACCCAGGAACAACUGUCUUUGCUUGAGAACAGUGUUACGUGUACAAAGCUGCCUACAAAGUGUCUCCCGCCUGGCUCAGGCAAGAAACUGGGACAGAAGUCUGUGAUGUUAUACCAGCCUGGGAGUCGUGCAUGGUCAUGUCAGUGUCGAGUGCACCAGGCGACACAGGGACAUGCCAGGCACCGCUCCUCCAGAGAGACUUGCCAGGUAUACAUGUUACCUCUCUCCCUUAGGCUUCACAGACUCGGCGGCCUUCCUCCAACCACCUGUCUCCUUAGGAAGUUUGAGAGAACUUUCUCCUCUGUGAUACAAACAGUAACCAAACAAAGCAGUAAACAAUCCAGUGUGGAAAGCACAUACUAAAGCUAAGAUUUAAUGUCACUGAAAUAAAAUCAUAACAACAAAAAACUCCAAGUACCCUUUCUUUGCAUAAUGUAUUUCAGGUGUCCAGCUACAGAGGCCAAGCCUGUGAUUUACAUCAAGCAAAGAGUCCUGGGAGAAAGAGGAGGAAAGACCGCCUUUGCCUGGGACAAGAUUCCUAUUUGUGUCAAGGAGAGUUAGGGACGAGAUGGUUGAGGCAGAGCAGCUGACUGCAGUCUUUAUCCAGUUUGCAUUGCUUUGGGGAAAGCCUUUUAACUGCAAGCCGGAUUGUCCAGAUGCUGGGCUGUCCGGAUGCUGGAUGGUCCAGAUGCUUUGUCGUGGUUGUUCCCUCUGAGUUUCCUCUGCCUUCUGGCUCCUCUUAGUCACCUUCACAACAGGGCUUUAUCAGGACUCUAGAGCAUCGGGCAAGCUCAGGUCUCACCUCUCCUUUUAAUUCUGCAGGAGUCUAUGCCAUGUACUCCAGCCCUGCAUAGAAUGAGUUCUGGAGUUCACCUGGAGCCCACGGAGAGUGGAUGUGGAACUUUUCUGUAGAACAUAGGAGCCGUCUGUACCGGCACAGCUUCAGCCAGCAAUAAGCAUUACCAGCUCCUGCCAGAGGAGCAAGAGGCAGGUACAAACAGUUGGUUUCUUCUCUACUUAAGGAAAAAAGAGAAAAGAAAAAAAAAAACCAGACCUGUUUUGCAAAGUUUUCUUUGGUGCGUUAGGAUAUGAGAAGAAUGGGGAGGGAGAAGGAAGAAAGGAAGGAGGAGGAAGGUGAGGAGGAGGAGGAGAGGAAGAGGAGGAGGAGGAAGAAGAAGAAGAAGAAGAAGAAGAAGAAGAAGAAGAAGAAGAAGAAGAAGAAGAAGAAGAAGAAGAAGAAGAAGCUGCAAAUUCAGUCACAUGGCAUGCAUAUCCUCUCCUCGACCACACAUUUUAUUACAGUAUAUAAUCCAAUAAUCCAGUUAAUUUCUUUGGAGAGAUGUUAUAUAUACAGGUGACAUUUGGAUGGAAUCACAGGCUGUAAACCUGUCCACUCCUAUCGGGGUUUAGAAUACAGAGGAAGAACCUGUUUUACAGGCUUCCUAGAAUUUUUACAUGG